CUGAGAUGCAAAGUAAUCCUCGAGAACCCACAACUGCAGUCCGUCCUCGGAGAUUAUCACGUAGCACAGCCUGCCUUUGGAUUCCCCUAUACACAUUUCGGGGAUACUUCUAAAGUAUGUGGCAGGUAGCGGUGCCGUAAUUAACCAAGAAAGCUCAAUUUGGGGAUGGAACAUGAGAAUCUGAUAACCAUCAGUAAGCCAAUACAAUCUUUCAUCAACAAAAAUCCCUUUAUUUUUUAUCAGUUUAUGCUUGCAUUGACAAAACUCGUUUGAUCUUUUCCAUUUCCCAGUUUCUGUGGAAUAUAUAUCAAAUGAUAGAUGGUAAUCCUCUCCACCAGUCAUAGUAUCACUAACCAAGACCAAUUUGAAAUCUGUGGAAGCAUCAAUUGGAUUCUGG
rnacentral:lncRNA from 1 species